rnacentral:rRNA from 1 species
AGGGCGGACGGUGGAUACCUAGGCUCGAGGAGGCGAAGAAGGACGUGAUAAGCUGCGAUAAGCCGCGGGUAGGCGCAAAUGGCCAUUGAUCCGCGGAUUUCCGAAUGGGGCAACCCGGCAGGCUGAAGGCCUGCCACCUUACCUGGUAAGGGGCGAACGUGGGGAACUGAAACAUCUAAGUACCCAUAGGAGGAGAAAACAAUUGUGAUUCCCCAAGUAGUGGCGAGCGAACGGGGAGGAGCCCAAACCGCGGGCGUUCAGGCGCCGGCGGGGUUGUAGGGCCCGCAUGAUCGAGCAUGCCAGUAUCGGAAAGGCUUGGAACGGCCUGCCGAAGAGGGUGAAAGCCCCGUACGAGCGGAAGGCAUGCAAGAGGCGGGUACCCUGAGUAGCGCAGGGCACGAGAAAUCCGGCGUGAAACCGGCGGGACCAUCCGCCAAGGCUAAAUACUCCCUCGAGACCGAUAGCGAACCAGUACCGUGAGGGAAAGGUGAAAAGUACCCCGAACAGGGGGGUGAAAAAGAACUUGAAACCGUCCGCCUACAAGCGGUCGGAGCCCUUAGGGGUGACGGCGUGCCUUUUGCAUAAUGAUCCUACGAGUCAUCGUCGCCGGCAAGGUUAAGGCCCAUUAGGGCCGGAGCCGAAGCGAAAGCGAGUCCGAAGAGGGCGGCUAGUCGGCGGGGAUGGACGCGAAACCAAGUGAUCUACCCUUGGCCAGGCUGAAGGUCCGGUAACGCGGACUGGAGGGCCGAACCGGUAAGCGUUGAAAAGCUUUCGGAUGAGCUGAGGGUAGGAGCGAAAGACCAAUCAAACUUGGAGAUAGCUCGUACUCCCCGAAAUGCAUUUAGGUGCAGCGUCGGGACAGUCUGCGCGAGGUAGAGCGACCGAUUGGAUGAGAGGGCUUCACCGCCUAUCAAGUCCUGACGAACUCCGAAUGCGCGCAGAUGUUUCCCGGCAGUGAGGGCGCGGGUGCUAAGGUCCGCGCCCGAGAGGAGAAGAAUCCAGACCACCGGCUAAGGCCCCGAAGUGGAGGCUAAGUUGGUCUAACGAAGUCUGGCCGCAGCGACAGCUGGGAUGUUGGCUUGGAAGCAGCCAUUCAUUCAAAGAGUGCGUAACAGCUCACCAGUCGAGCGGCCGGGCAUGGAUAAUAAUCGGGCAUAAGCCGCCCGCCGAAGCCGUGGAUUUUAUGGUAGGGGAGCAUUCCGUGCGCGGCGAAUGGGAGACGCGAGUCGCCCUGGAGCGCACGGAAAGGCAAAUGUAGGAAUGAGUAACGAUAAGGGGGGUGCGAUCCCCCCCCGCCGCAAGACCAAGGAUUCCUGAUCAACGCUAAUCGGAUCAGGGUAAGUCGGGACCUAAGGAUAAGCCGAAAGGCGAGGCCGAUGGCAGAUCCGGUCAAGAUUCCGGAACUGCCGCGCGGAUCGACGCGGGGACGGAGGAGCGUAAGCCACGCCGGCUGACGGAAUAGCCGGUUGAAGGGCGUAGGCGUUGAGGGGCGCAGUCAAGCACGCGCCCCGAGCUGAGACCCGAUAGUACGUUGACCGCCUCGGCGGGAGACGUUAGCUGGCCCAAGCCGACUCCCAAGAAAAACCGCUAAGAACAUGCGCGCGGCACCCGUACCGAAACCGACACAGGUGGUCCGGUAGAAUAUACCAAGGCGCUCGGGAGACUCGCGGUUAAGGAACUAGGCAAAAUAGCCCCGUAACUUCGGGAAAAGGGGCGCUCCCUGCAAGGGGAGCCGCAGAGAAAUGGCUCAGGCGACUGUUUAACAAAAACACAGGGCUAUGCGAAAUCGCAAGAUGAAGUAUAUGGCCUGACACCUGCCCGGUGCUGGAAGGUUAAGAGGAGGGGUCACGCAAGGAAGCCCUGAAUUGAAGCCCCAGUAAACGGCGGCCGUAACUAUAACGGUCCUAAGGUAGCGAAAUUCCUUGUCGGGUAAGUUCCGACCUGCACGAAUGGUGUAACGAUCCGAGCACUGUCUCAACCGCGAGCCCGGUGAAAUUGUAGUAUCGGUGAAGAUGCCGAUUACCCGCAACGGGACGAAAAGACCCCGUGAACCUUUACUGCAGCUUAGCGUUGAGUCUGGGCAAACGAUGUGUAGGAUAGGCCGGAGGCUGUGAUCCGCGCGCGCCAGCGUGUGGUUAGCCGACGUUGAAAUACGGCCCUUCGUUUGUCUGGACCCUAACCCCUGAAGGGGGGACACCGCUUGGUGGGUAGUUUGACUGGGGUGGUCGCCUCCAAAAGCGUAACGGAGGCUUCCAAAGGUGCCCUCGGGACGAUUGGUAACCGUCCUGUGAGUGUAAUGGCGAAAGGGCGCUUGACUGGGAGGCAGACAAGCCGAUCAGGUGGGAAACCAGGGCAUAGUGAUCCGGCGGUUCCGCAUGGAAGGGCCGUCGCUCAAAGGAUAAAAGGUACUCCGGGGAUAACAGGCUGAUCACUCCCAAGAGCUCACAUCGACGGAGUGGUUUGGCACCUCGAUGUCGGCUCGUCACAUCCUGGGGCUGGAGAAGGUCCCAAGGGUUCGGCUGUUCGCCGAUUAAAGUGGCACGCGAGCUGGGUUCAGAACGUCGUGAGACAGUUCGGUCUCUAUCUGUUGCGGGCGUUGGAGAUUUGCGUGGGUCUGGCACUAGUACGAGAGGACCGUGCUGGACCGGCCGCUGGUGUACCGGUUGUUCCGCCAGGAGCACUGCCGGGUAGCUAAGCCGGGUCAUGGAUAAGCGCUGAAAGCAUCUAAGCGCGAAGCCGUCCACAAGAUUAGAUCUCCUUUGA